UCCCUGGUGGCUCAGAGGGUAAAGCAUCUGCCUGCAAUGCGGGAGACCUGGGUUCGAUCCCUGGGUCGGGAA
rfam:TPA: Bos taurus chromosome 7, whole genome shotgun sequence.